rnacentral:rRNA from 1 species
AGCAGUCGCCACGGUAAUACGAAGGGGGCUAGCGUUGCUCGGAAUGACUGGGCGUAAAGGGCGCGUAGGCGGUUUUCCAAGUUAGAUGUGAAAUUCCUGGGCUCAACCUGGGGGCUGCAUUUGAUACUGGGAGGCUUGAGUAUGGAAGAGGGUCGUGGAAUUCCCAGUGUAGAGGUGAAAUUCGUAGAUAUUGGGAAGAACACCGGUGGCGAAGGCGGCGACCUGGUCCAUAACUGACGCUGAGGCGCGAAAGCGUGGGGAGCAAACAGGAUUAGAUACCCGGGUAGUCCCUGUCUCUUAUAC